rnacentral:misc_RNA from 1 species
UUAUUAUUAUUAUUAUUAUUUACACAGAUGCCCGAGUCGGAAACGGCAGAACCAAAGCGUGGUGGAAGAGUCGAUUCACUUCUUUUAAAUACUAGUUCAUGUGCUUUUCCUUUUUUAACAAUAUCUCUGUGCUUCUCUAGAUCUUUAGAUUCUUCAUUAGCCUGUAUAAGACAAAAAAAACAGCAUUACUGAGAAAAACCUACUGGGGGUACAAUGUCAAUUUUUUGAGAAUUUGAUGCGCAAUUGCAUUUUGAUUUUCUGGGGUUUUUCCCCUUGAAAGAAAGGGAUGAAAAGGGAGGAGAAUCGAUUCGAAUUCGAAUCUCAUCUCAUCACAUUCAGAAUUAAAAGAUUGAGAAAUGGUUGGGCAAGUCAAAUUUUAUCAGUUUUGUAACUUCUAUUCCCGAUAAUUUAGAUUUUGCAUAUGGAGUCCAUAGCUAUUAUCGAAUAGGAUUAAGGCACCUUGGAUGCAUGAUCCUUUUCCUAAAGAUGCUGAUGCUGCCUAAAGUUUCAGCUAGAUCCAAGAACCUGUGUCGUGAACAGGUCUAGGGGAUUAAUGGAGGGUUGCAGGAGAAUGUGAAAUUUGAUUUUAAAAAUAAAAUUGCAUCACAUGAUUAUUCUUCCCAAUACCAGAAGCACCGGCAAAUUUAUAAUAAUUUAUAGUCAGCACCGAAUUAUAGGACCAUGUGCAUGUGAUCUAAAACAAAUAGGAUUAGAUUUCAUGUGGGCUUUUCUGUGGGAAGUUCGAUAGAGUAGUAUGGAUAGAUUGUAUGUAAAAACUGAAUCUUUAGAAAAGUACCUCGAGGGGGAACCGGGUCGGUGUCUGGUUUAGUCUUUAGACUUGUAGCUAUGGGGAAAAGAAAAAGGGAAGAGGAUGGCAUAAUGCAGGGAAGACUGGAUAAUUAUUAGUAAUGUUAUUGCAGCAUAUAAUACAGUAGGUUGCUUUACUUGUUUAAUUUAUUAAAUGCGCUUUUAGAGUAAAAGCAGCUUACCCUGUUGCAUUCCUUCCAAAUUUUUCUAUUUUGGGCAAUAUGACAUUCCACAUGCACGAGUCAGAAGUUAAUUGUCUUCCUGAGUCUUAUGCGCUUAAUUUUUGCUUGUUUUUUGGAUGGUUUUAGGCAUGAAUUUUAGUUUGUUUCCCAUCCUAUAUACUUGACAAAUUUCUAUACAUAAUACGUGUGAGAUGGAUAAUUCGUCCCUACGCUAUGGUGUAACCAAUGUACGAGUGUCAAAUAUGGGUGAGUUUGUAACAAUUAGAGCGUGUGGUAAUCAUUUGUUGGCCAAGUAUAAAGCAUUCAAGCUACUUGACACUCAUCUAUAUAGGUUUGAUGCAAUACUCCUAGCAUAAGCAAGUCAAUCCUGACAUUUUAGUAGUAACCUGUAAGUAAAACCCUGACAGUUUUUACAGGUGAUAUCCUCACUCCUGAUAGGAUGAGGUCCAUUAUAUCUAACCGUGCUGAUCUAUGAAGGGAGGAAAGAACAUAACAUGCAAGAAGACGUUGAGGUUAACACGAGUGGCCUUGUAGGGGGGCAGUGGAGCUUGGCCAGAUUCUAUGUACUUUAGAUCCUCCACAAGACGAUCGUAGUGUAUCUUCACUUCUUCAGGAGAUUUGCCACCUACAGCCUUGGCCACAUUUUGCCAGCGGUCUGGGGUGUCCUUGUCAUAUACAGCCAAGGCCUUUUCAAACAGCUUGUUUUGUUUGGGUGUCCAGGACGAGUUUGAACCAUUUGAAGAAGACGAGAAUUUGCUUGAUGCCAUUUCCCUUGGGCGGAAAUAUGAAUAAUAUUAUGGUAUGGUAAUAAAGAUCGGCGGACUACUGCAGGGCUAGAGACAGGAGAACUGGGUAUCCAAAUGAAGUUUAAAGGUGAAUAAUGACGGAGGAAUGUGAAGCCUAAAGCAGAAGAGCUAAACUAAAGGUCAAGAAAGUUCGAAGAAAAUGAGAGCAAAGAGUUGCCUCAGUCAAGGGAUCGAAGACUGAAGUCAAGUGCUGGUAUGGGUAUGAGAUUGCCAUGCUUGCUCCUUAUAAACAGGGUAGAUGGUGGUGGGGUGGAUUGUGCAAGUUGGCGAAUAUAUUUUUUUUCUAGAUAGUAUAACAAGAUGUGAUUCGGUUCCUUAAGCUAGGGUAAGAAGGACAAGAAAGGAGAAGAGAAUCCAUGUCAAAGGACUGACUCUAUAAAGUCUUUUUCUUGUCUUCUAUAAUAUCAUCAGCAAUAGCAAGUGGAAUUCUUCGAGAAUUUUACCUAGUGACUAGUGGGGAUUUGAUCCCAAUUCUGAGUCUACACAUCAACACAUAGAUGCGCCAACAACCUGAACCGCCAUUCCAUCUUUUAGACCCUGCAUACAAUACAGUAAGAUAUUCUGCCAUCUUUAUACUGGCACUGGGAUUUUCUUGCCCUUGCUUAUUUAGGCAACUUGCCAUAAUAUAUAGUUUUUAAGUAGUGUGUGUUUAUUGGCCACUCUUUUUUGUGUGAAUGAGAUCUUGGAUUUGUCUCUUACAAUUGGCAACUUAAAAAAUAGAAAAAAAAAGUGAAAUAGAGUAUCAUUUCGUUCUAAGUUGCCCUACGCAACAGUAGUAACGGCAAUAACGGCCUCCCAUAGCUAGUAUCCAGUUAAUAACUCAAGGGAUUUUCUGUUAUUAUUAUUGUUUUGUUAAAAUCAAACUUAUUUUGUUAAUAAUUAAUAGAAAUAAUUUUCAUUUUG